ACAUCAACCUACCCAUAAAUUUGAAGGCCCAUCGACAAGACCCGAUCCAUAAUUUUUCGUCAGUGAGUCAGGUCGUGAACGGAUUUUUCGGUUGCAUUCGGCAACACUCGGCCCUUCUCCCCUGCUCGUAAUCCUCCUCUUGGCGUCUGUCACCCACAGUCACCUUCAAAUUCUACGAAACACUUGUGCUUUCCUUCCACGUAGCCCUAAAUCUCUUUCUCUUCUCUUCCUCCCCAGCUUAUCUUUCAUGGACAACACAAGCAGCAGCAGCAAUUUUUCGCACCUUCAGCUCGUAAUAACAGAACUGGUGGUGGUAGAGGAGGAGGUUGGGAGGUGAAGGAUGAAGAAGAGAGAUCAAGGGGUCUCAACUUUCUCUGAAUCUACUGAGCCACGAUAGUUGAAACUGAAAGAUUAUUUAAGCAAAUCCUUUCAUUUGAAGAAGUUCCAGAGUGAAUGCAUGGAACUUAUAGGAAGAAUUUGGAUUCAAUAUUAGGGCUUUGGUCUGAAGUGCAUGACAAGACUGCAGGUACACUUUGCAAGUGGCUUGCCAACACAUGGGGGUCAGUGGCAAUGUUGGCUAGAAUUUUAUAUCUAAUCGCAUGCAUUUUUGUAUUUAUUAACUUGCUUCUGGUAACUCAGAGAUGCUUCUGGAGUCCAUAAUUUUCUUCUAUACCUGCUCCCUCUAAAAUUGCUAGAAAAGGCGUAUGGGAAAAUUUGAACAACAAUUGGAGAUUAUUGUAUGUUGACGAUGAACUGUUUAUAUUUCCAUGCACACAUGAAUAUGAAAACAGAUGUUGGGAGGCAUUUGUGUCACCAUGUGCACACUGGUCAGUUCAAAAGAAGAUCGAUGGUCCAUAUUUUCUAGUGGAAGUGACAUGAAUUUUCUUUGCAUCGAUCUGCUUUUACUCUUUGGCCUUUGCAUAUGUGGUGCCAAUUUGAAAGGCGGAUUGAACUCACAUUUCUAUCAUGGGUGUAAAGCACUUUAGGAAUUCUCAGACAAAUUAACAAGGGAAAUAUAACUUAUCCAGCUGAAUGUAUUGGAGUUUGUGAUUGAAGUCAUUGAACUUGUAUAUAUGUGAUAAGUCCUAUGCUCGGGAAGAAACUUCGCAUUCUAAGGUUUACCCAUUGGGUUUUUCAUUUGAGUCCUAGACAAUAGUAUUAUUCGGCUUAUGCCAAUAACCAUUUAUUUAUUUGAUUUUUAUAUUUUUGGAGAAUUCUGAUAAUUGAUUUGUGGUCUUUCAGGCAUGAGACGAGAUGUUAACAAUUUGAUCUUUCUUGAUAUCAGAAAAGCUUUAGCUGAUAUAACUUUGAUGUAACUAUUAAUUUGAAAGAGUUAUUUAAGUUCGUCGUCACUCUUUUUUUUCUA